rnacentral:sRNA from 1 species
UUGCUGGCUAGGGUAGCUCCCGAAAAACCGAACCUGAACGGCCUGCCAGUGAUUUUCUCUUUUCAGG